rnacentral:ncRNA from 1 species
GCCUUUGCAGCUGGAGACAGUAUGCCAGACGACUUAAAAUAAGUUGGCCUCAUGCAAGUCAGCGCCCCCGCUGGCGACACUUUCGAAUUGACGGGGACACCCUAAAGCCCUUCCCACCAAACCAGCAAGGGAAACCUGCUGGCGGCCCGUUCUAACGCACGGGGUAUGGUAAUAGAGGAAGGGAUAUUGCAAUGGGCAAUCCGCAGCGAAGCCCCUGUAGCCACCCCGCGGGGCUGGUAUGGGGAACGUUCACAGACUAAGUGGAAGUGGGUGGGACUGCGGUCCUGCUUAAGAUAUAGUCGGGCCCUCGAAGAAAUUUGGGGGGGUUCCAACCGUUCCGUAGGUGAACCUUCGGAAGGAUCAUUA